rnacentral:rRNA from 1 species
GUACUAGUUGUCGGGUCUUAAUUGACUUGGUAACGCAGCUAACGCGUGAAGUAGACCGCCUGGGGAGUACGGUCGCAAGAUUAAAAGUCAAAGGAAUUGACGGGGACCCGCACAAGCGGUGGAUGAUGUGGAUUAAUUGGAUGCAACGCGAAAAACCUUACCUACCCUUGACAUGGUCGGAAUUCUGCUGAGAGGCGGAAGUGCUCGAAAGAGAACCGACACACAGGUGCUGCAUGGCUGUCGUCAGCUCGUGUCGUGAGAUGUUGGGUUAAGUCCCGCAACGAGCGCAACCCUUGUCUUUACUUGAUUACAAAGUAGAGAGACUGCCGGUGACAAACCGGAGGAAGGAGAGGAUGACGUCAAGUCAGCAUGCCCCUUACGCCCUGGGCUACACACGUGCUACAAUGGCCGGGACAAUGAGAUGGGACCCUGCGAAGGCAAGCCAACCUCAAAAACCCGGUCUCAGUUCGGAUUGUAGGUUGCAACUCGCCUACAUGAAGUCGGAAUCGCUAGUAGACGCCGGUCAGCCAUACGGCGUUGAAUAUGUUACCGGGCCUUGUACACACCGCCCGUCACACUAAGGGAGUUGGGUUGGUCCAAAGUAAUUACCCUAACCGGGUUAUCCGGAGGGGGAUUAUCACGGCCGAACUGGUGACUUGAGUGAAGUCGUAACAGGGUAAAGGGCGAAUUCC